UUAUGGCCAUAUCAUGUUGAAACAACGGUUCCCAUAUGGUCACCAAAGUUAAGCUACAUCAAACCUGGUCAGUACCUAGUUGGGUAACCACUUAGGAAUACCAUGUGCUGUAU